UGCACGUGGUUGUCUGAAUGGACCUCCCCCUCCGUAACCCGCUAAGGUCUCUCGGGAUGUUUGGUUCCAGCGCUUGGCGCCUGUUCCGUGGGUGUGGAAGCUCAUGGGUAUCCUUCAGUACGCGCGCAUGGUACCAGUUGUUUCUGAAGCAAAGAGGCUUGGGGAAACCAGAGGCAGACCAUUCUGUUCGAGUAAAGAUCUUGGGGCCCCAAAACCCACUGGGGCGUGAGGAACUGCUGAAGCUACUGGCAGCAUCAGUGGUGCACAGAGAUGAUGCACUGGUGGCCUUCAGCAAACCCCCAGGCUUACCUGUUUCAGGCAAACCAGGGGAAUUGACUUUCCUGUCUCUUCUACCGGAUCUAAGCCAGAAGCUGGGCCUCCCGCAGGAUCUCCAGGUGAUCAAAGCUGCAGUAAAGGAGAGUUCUGGACUUGUUCUGCUCUCAGGUUGCCCAAAUACCUGCCUGCUCCUCCAAGAUUUCUACACUAAGAGCCGGAGGGCAAAAUGUCCAGCUGCUACUUACUGUGCUGUCACCACCAGGAUCCCUGCAGCUUUGGAGGGGGAAGUCCGUACAGGCCUCAAGUUGAUGCCGGUGGAAGAUUUUGAUCUGGUGGUGCCCGUGGCUUCCCCAUCUCAGCGCAGCCUCGAAAGGAGGGAGGUAAAAAAUACACGGACGCUCUACAAGGUGCUGGACUCCUGUGAUGGCUGCGCCCUGCUACAACUGCAGCCCUUAUCAGCCUUCACUGGCCAGCUCCUGGUACACCUGACCCUCAUCCUGAGCCCUGUCCUGGGUGACCAUGUCUAUUCUUCCCGUGUGGGGACCGUACUGGGAGAGCCCUUCCUCUUGCCUGCUGAAACUACUCUGCCUCGGACACAGAUUCUAGAGGAGUCCCUGUUGAAGAAGCUCCACGUGCAGCAGCAGCAGGUGCAUCGCUUGCCGCUCCACCUCCACCUGCACCAGCUCCUCCUCCCUACUGCAGCCUCCUCCAGCACUACCACUGUGCUCACAGCCCCUCUGCCGCCGUAUUUCCUGCAGACGCUUUCUCUCCUGGGACUCGCUUUGCCACAGGACAAGCAGGGAGAGAAGACAUCCAAAGCACUUGCCCAAAUCCAGAAGCCUCAGCCCACCCCAGUCAAAAGGACGGGGCGGCCUUAAAGCCAGGAGCCCAGAGCAGGAGAAGGGGCCCAGCACUGCAGCCAGCGUGGGUGAAGAAUCUUGCUACCUGCUGGCAAGAUGCUCACAGAGCUUGAAGCAGAGCUGCAGAAAUGGACACGCAAAGGCUUCCUUCACAGCUGUGGUCAGUCUUAAGUUGGCUGCAGGAGCGAUUUCAAGUGAUUAUUAUCUAUACAUCUGGAAACCAGUUUCAGCAGGCCAUCAGACAAAAAGGUAACCGAGAGAAAGAACACGGGAAUCAGCUCUGUGGCUGGAUGUUGCCAUGCUCUAACUUCAGCAACAGCAUUUGUGUGGCAGAGACCUACUAAACGGCUUCAUACGGAAGAGGAAAGAGGCAAAGCAGCAGAGAAACAAUGCCUUCUCCAGGGUCAAGGGAUGCACCACUGAAGACUUCACCGAGAUCCACGCACGGGAAAGGGAGAGCCAUGGCCGGAGGCGAAGUCACCCGUCUGAUGGCGGUUCUGGGGAGCCUGAGGAGGCCCCACCGUCUUCAGCACUGAGGCAGCUGGGUCGGGAAUGGCACUGCAUGCUCAGGGUACUCAAGGCAUUCCAAACCAAGGUGACUUUCGAAGUGCGACUCCCAUGGCGCUGCUCCUCUGCCUUCCGUUUUAUCAGGCCGAAGACCGUCGGCUGCCCUGACGGAACGGUCCUGUGUGGUCUCACAGCCUUUUCCCCCCCACACGAGGCAAGACGGACAUCUGGUUUUCAAAAGCUGGUACAUGAGGCAGCAGGACCUGCUGCUGCUCAUCCUAGGGGCACAUGAGCGAGGAAAGGAGCAAAGGUUACUGGACUGGCAGAAGGAAGCCUGGCUAAAUGAGGGGGCGGGAUGUCGCCACCUCAGCUCUUGCUCAAAGCUGCUGCACAAGGUCACAUUGGAGAAAGCUGCUUCGGGCAGUCCCUGUCUUGGCCACUGCAGGAAGAGGCACGCAGGCCUGGAUAGCGAGGCUCCUCAGGGCAGGAGGGGCAUCGCGUGAGCACCCGCGGACUCACUGCAUACCUGCGACUGGCAAGAGAAGACUGCCUUGCGGUAGCAGAGUCUGGGAGCGCCAGAAAGCAGGGGGCCCGCCCUGGAGCGGCAGCACAGCACUGUCCAGCGUGGCACGGCCUUUCCGUCUUUGCAGAAGAGGCGGGGGAGUCUGCAGAGGGCAGCCGGGCCUGGGGAAGAACCAAUAACACAGCCACACAGUGAGACCCAGACGUGCCGAACACUGACUUGCCCCUUGAAUGCUGGCGGCUGGCUUCUCAGCCAUUCACGGAAACGGGGAAGCAAAACUGUGCAGCAUUUUCCAAAGCUCCCUGUGUUAAUGGCAGUCUGCAACAGCAAGGGUGGCGUGAGGCGGCUCUGACCCCUGACUCGCCACACUUUAACCCACAGCAACUAGCAGGUAAGAAAACAGAAGCAAUGGACAAUGAAAUGAGAUGGAUGGAGAAGCAACAGAGCACACGCCCCAUCAUUGAAGAGGUCCACGCAGCAGGCAGGCAUAGAGCUGAAUCUCUGGACUGAAAAACACUUAUCUCGUCUGCAGGCUCUACCCUGAAGCCAGAGCCCCUGAACCUCUUUCUGCUUGAAUUAAGUUUCACAGCAGCUCUUGGCAGCUGCAUUGCAGGUGAUCAGGACCAAAAGCAAAGGGGCUGGGCCAACACACACACACACACCUUGCACAGAGGACUUCAACCUUUGCUUGACACAAAAGGCUGAGAAACCAUUGGAUCAUUGGUAGUUGGGGGAAAGUGAGUGGGGUCAUCUGAGGAUCCCAGGGAUUGGCUCCUAGGACUCUGAGGUUCUUCAUCCCUGCCCUGAAGGGGAAGAAUCUCUCCAAAUGAAAAGCAGUUGGGGAGAAAAUAUUUGGAGAUAAUGUCACUGUGCAGAAUAGCAAAUUUUAUUAUGGAAAGAAGAGAAAAGAAGCAAUAGUUGGUGAAGAGUUUUGGAGACAGGAAAUUGGAAUCUGAUGAGAAUGAGACUGUGGGCAUAGCUGACUCUAAUGGCAGUGGGGUGUGUUGAACUUUUAUGGAGCCAUCCAUGUUGCUGAACCCAAUCCACCAAAAUAGGCUAAUCACUAUGGGGAUCUCCUUUGAAGUUUGGACUGAAAUUCAGAGUAGAUACACCACCCCACUGAUAUUGAAGAUGGCAGCUAUUGGUGGAGCAAGAAGUCUGGUUGCAUUUUGUGGGUUUUAUGGGCAGAGGUGGCCUCUGCUGCUCCUUAUGGGACGGCUGAGGGUUUGCUUGGUGCACAAAGCGCUUAGGGUCAGUGGGUGGGGAAGGAGCUCUUGCAUUUUAAGAGCUGAAAUUCAACCCGCAACAUCCCCAUCACUGUAUCUCAGAGAUGCUACAACAUUGAGGCUUUGGGGUGAGGGCUGGGACCGCUCCCCCACCCUGUUUCAGUCAUCUCAAGCAGCAGCCUGCUGGUCUCCUAGCCAGUGCUGCUCCUCACCUGCCAUGGGUGGUUGGCAGAAACUUAACUUGCAUUGCUUGUUAUUGGGAGAAGGAGUGGGGCUCACAGCAGGAUGCUGUGGUGUGGAGCGCUCUUUUCAGGGUGGCAGCCGGCCAGGAUGCUCCCCCAGGACAGAGUCUUGUCUGGCUACUGAGCAUGCUCAGUCCCCUUUCGGUGGCUCCAUUCCCUCUCUUUCCUUUGUUCCUUCCAGGGGCUUUCCCCUUCCAAAACAGCAAAGAAGCUUGAGGAACCAGAAAUAUGAGCAUUUUUUCCCGGUGAUUACAGCAAAGCAAGGAAGAGUCUUCUAGCACCUCAGAUACUAAGGAAUCUAUUAUGGUAUUAGCAUUUAGAGCCUAAAGUCCACAAAAGCUCAUGCCAUAAUAAAGUCUUUAAAACGGCCACAA